CAGAUCAAAGAGAAAUGAGCUAGAAGAUGCACUGUCCAUUUGUGCUUGAGUUGCUUGGAAUUGCAGAAAUGUGAUGGACUAGUGAAGAAAAUGGCAAAGUUGGAUAUUUACAAGAUGAGAAUGAGAACCUGGGGCAGCCUUGGAAAGUAGGAAUCUUCCAUUAGUUGCUUAAGAUUAUCUUUGCAGACUCUUAUCAGUGUCCU
rnacentral:lncRNA from 1 species